rnacentral:rRNA from 1 species
AUAUUGCGCAAUGGGCGAAAGCCUGACGCAGCGACGCCGCGUGAGGGAUGAAGGCCUUCGGGUUGUAAACCUCUUUCAGCAGGGAAGAAGCGCAAGUGACGGUACCUGCAGAAGAAGCACCGGCUCACUACGCGCCAGCAGCCGCGGUAAUACGUAGGGUGCAAGCGUUGUCCGGAAUUAUUGGGCGUAAAGAGCUCGUAGGCGGUUUGUUGCGUCUGCUGGGAAAACGCGGGGCUCAACUCCGCGCCUGCAGUGGGUACGGGCAGACUAGAGUGCAGUAGGGGAGACUGGAAUUCCUGGUGUAGCGGUGGAAUGCGCAGAUAUCAGGAGGAACACCGGUGGCGAAGGCGGGUCUCUGGGCUGUAACUGACGCUGAGGAGCGAAAGCGUGGGUAGCGAACAG